CACGGCGGCUGGGCGAGGGGCCUAUUUGGCUGUGACGCUCAGCCCAGGUUUCUAUCGUCCUAUCCCCGAGGGUUUAUCUGAGACCUAAAAUGGCGGCGUUUGCAUAGGGUGCAAAUACUGCAGGCAUACGAGAUGUGGAAAGGCGGCCAAAGGACGAAUCUUCUAAGGAAAGUCCAGGAACUCCAAUAUUUGUGUUGUGAUUUUUAAAAACAUUAAACAGCAUAGGUACAGUUGAAGCCCCCUUUGUAUCUCUUCGUCACAUGCCACAAAAAAGGAAAAGCUGAUCCUAAAAGAGAUUUUUGCCAAGACCAUUCAGUUAUGAAAGAAGAGUCUCAACAGAUGGUUCUUUGACAACUGGAGAUCAACUUACAAAAGAAUGUGAUUGGACUUUUAACUCAUAAUUGUUACAGAAAUUAACUCAAUCUUUCAAAAGCUAAAUGUACAAGCUAAUACUGUAAAAAUCAUAAUAGUAAAAUGUAUAGUAAAAUCUUCCUGAUCUUUAAUUUGGCAACUGAUUCCUAUAUAUGACACUGAAAGUAAAAUCAUCAAAAGAAAUAACAGAUUACAGUAUAUCUUGUUUUAUUGCUCAAUAGAUUACAGUAUAUCUUGUUUUAUUGCUCUUGGUUUUAUUGUACUUUGGAGAUAAUUGUGUUUUUUACAAAUUGAAGAUUUGUAGCAACCUUGCAUCCAGCAAAAGUAUUGACAUUUUUCUAACAGCGUUUGCUCACUUUGUGUCUCUGCUAUAUUUUGGUAAUUCUUGAAAUAUUUCAGAAUUUUUCAUCAUUAUAUUUGUUAUGGUGACGUGUGAUCAGUGAUCUUUCAUGUUACUAUUGUAAUUGUUUUAGGGAGGCACAUACCAUGUCCAUAGAAGACAGUGAACUUCAUCGCAUUUGUGUUCCGACUGCUCCACUGACUGGACGUUUUCCUCUCUCCCUCUCCUCAGGCCUCUGUAUUCCCUGAGAAACAACAAUAAUGUUACUAGGCCAGUGAAUAUCCCUAAAGUGGCCUCUUAAGUGUUCAUGUGAAAGGAAGACUUGCACAUCUCUCUCUAAAUAAAAAGCUAAUAAUGAUGAAGCUUAGUGAGGAAGGCAUGUUGAAAGCCUACAUAAGCCAAAAGCUAGGCCUUUUGUGGCAUUUAUCCAAAUUGUGAAUGCAAAGGAAAAGUUCUUGAUGUAAAUGAAAAGUGUUAUUCCAGUGAGCACAUAAAUGAUAAGAAAGCAAAAUAGCCUUAUUGCUGAUACUGAGAAUGUUUUAGCAGUCUGCAUAAAAGAUCAAACCAGCCUCAAAAAUCUCCUUAAGCCAAAGCCUAAUCCAUAGCAAAGCCCUAGCCUUCUUCAAUUCUGUGAAGGCUAAGGGAGGUGAGGAAGCUGCAGAAAAAAAGUUUGAAGGUAGCAGAAGUUGGUUCAUGAGGUUUAAGGAAAGAAGCCAUCUCCAUAACAUAGAAGUACAAAGUGAAGCGGUAAAUGCCGAUGUAUAAGUUGCAGCACGUUAUCAGAAGAGCUAGCUAAGAUCAUUAAUGAAUGUGGCCACACUAAACAACAGAUCUUUGAUAUAGAAAAAACAGCCUUCUAUUGGAAGAAGAUGCAUCUAGGACAUUCAUAGCUACAGGGGAGAAAUCAAUUCCUGUCUUCAGAGGACAGGUUGACUCUCUUGUCAUGCUAAUGCAGCUGGUAACUUUUGAGUUCAAGCCAAUUCUCAUUUAUCAUUCUAAAAAUCCUAGGGUUAGACUGGGAUUUCAAAAUUGUAGAAUAGAUAAACAAGAUUAUACUGUAUAGCACAGGGAAAUAUAUAUAAGAUCUUAUGGUAGCUCACAGAGAAAAAACUGACAAUGAAUAUAUAUAUGUUCAUGUAUAAAUGAAAAAUUGUGCUCUACACUGGAAUUUGACACAACAUUGUAAAAUGAUUAUAAAUCAAUAAAAAACAUUAAAUAAAAUAAAAUAAAAAUCCUAGGGUUUUUAAGAAUUUUGCUAAUUGUACUCUGCUGUGCUCCACAAAUGGAGCAACAAAGCCUGGAUGAGAACACAGCUGUUUACAGUGUGGUUUACUGAAUAUUUUCAGCCAACUGUUGACACCCACUGCUCAGCAAAAAAAUAUUCCUUUCAAAAUAUUGCUGCUCACUGACAAUGCACCUGGUCACUUAAGAGCUCUGAUGGAGAUGUACAAUGACAUAAUGUUUUUAAUGCCUGCUAACAUAUCAUCCAUUCAGCAUCUGGUGGGUUAAGGAGAAAUUUUGAUUUUCAUUUCUUAUUAUUUAAGAAAUACAUUUUGUAAGGCAGUACCUGCCAUACUAAGUAGUGAUUCUUUUGAUGUGGUGGGCAAAGUAAAUUGAAAACCUUCUGGAAUAGAUUUAUCAUUCUAGAUGACAUUAAGAAUGUUUGUGAUUCAUGAAAAGAGGUCAGAGUAUCAACAAUAACAGUAGUUUGGGAGAUGUUGAUUCCAACCCUCAUGGAUGACUUUGAGAGGUUCAAGACUUCAGUGGAAGAGAUAACUCCAAAGGUGGUGAAAAUAGAAAGAGAAGUAGAGUUAGGAGUGGAGCCUGAAUCUGUGACUGAAUUCCUGCAAUCUCAUGAGAAAACCUUAAUGGAUGAGGAGUUGCUUCUUACUGAUGAACUAAGAACGUGGUUUCUUGAGAUGGAAUCUACUCCUGUUAAAGAUGCUUUGAAUAUUGUUGAAAUAACAAGAAAGGAUUAAGAAUAUUACAUAAACUUCAUUAAUAAAGCAGUGGCAGGGUUUGAGAGGAUUGACUCCAAUUUUGAAGUUCUGCUGUGGAUAAAAUGAUGCCAAAUGGCAUUGCAUGCUACAGAGAAAUUGUUCAUGAAAGGAAGAGUCAAUUGAUAUGACAAACUUCAUUGCUGUUUGACUUUAAGAAAUUGCCACAGCCACCCCAGCCUUUAGCAACCACUACCCUCAUCAGUCAGCAGCCAUUAAUAUCAAGGCAGAAAAGUAACUACUCACUGAAGUUUCAGGUGAUGGUUAGCAUUUUAUAGUAUUUUUUAGUUAAGGUACAUACAUUGGUUUUUUUAAAGGCAUAAUGCUAUUGCACAGUUAAUAGACUACAGUGUAGUGUAAAUAUAACUUUUAUCUUCACUAGGAAACAAAAUUCAUGUGACUCACUUUAUUGUGAUAUUCACUUUAUUGUGGUGGUCUGGACCCAUACCCUCAUUAUUUCCGAGGUAUACCUGUAAUUGGGCUUUAUCUACCUUACAAAUAUGUGCACCAUAGGGACACUCUUAGGAAAGUGAAAAGACAGCUCACAGAAUAGGAGAAAAUACUUCAAAAUUAUAUAUUUGAGAAGGUACUGGUGUGAAGAAUAUAUAAAGAACACUUCCAACUAAGAAACAGAAGGAAAAUACAAUUUAGAAAUGCACCAAAACAUGAUUUCUCAAAAGUUAAUAUACCAGUAACCAGAAGUACGUAAAAAGAAUUUUAAUAUUUUUUGAGAAAUUUAAUUCAAAAUAACUAUGAGAUAUCACUUCACACUAUGGAUAUAAAAUAAAAAAUAGAAAAUAAUAAAUGUUGGCAAGGAUAUGGAGAAGUUGGAAUUUUUGUUGUUGUUAUGAGGGAUGUCAAAUGGUGAGACUACUGUGAAAAACAGUAUGGUGGUGGUUCCUCAAAAAUUUAAAUAUAGAAUUUGUAUGAUCCACCAAUUCCACACCAGGGUAUAUUCCUAAGUUAAAGUAAUACUAACAUUCAAAUAAAAAUUUUAUAUGGAAAUAUAUAUAGCCACAUGAUUUGCUGUGGUCAGAGUAGAAUCUACUCAGAUAUCCAUGAGGUAAUGAAUGGGUGAAGAAAGUGGUAUAAUCUUAUUCAUCCAUAAAUAGGAAUGAAUUACAGGUACACGGUAUGACAUAGAUGUUCCUCUUAUUCAUUGUGCUAAGUGAAAGAAACCAGACACAUAAUGGCCUUAUUCCACACAUGAAAUGUGAAGAAGAAGUAAAUCCAUGGAGGCAAAGCAGAUUAGUGGUUGUCAGUGACUAGGGAGGGUAUGGGGAGUGGAGAAUGACUGCUUUAUCAGUCUUGGGUUCUCUGUUACGUUAUUAAAAUGCAGAUUUUGACCAUAGUGAUGAUUGCACAAAGUUGUGAAUGUACUUACAGCCCCUGAAUUGUACUAUUUAAAAUUAUUAAAAUGGUGGAUUUUAUCUGUUGUUCUACCUCAUUAAAAAAAAAAAAAUAAAGGAAUUGAUCACCUUACAAAAAGCAGGUGGUGGGAGAUAUAGCUCCCA